GAUGAACGCUAGCGACAGGCUUAACACAUGCAAGUCGAGGGGCAGCGGUGGUGAAGGCUUGCCUUUACCAGCCGGCGACCGGCGCACGGGUGAGUAACACGUAUGCAACCUGCCUGCCACAGCCGGAUAAUCGGGAGAAAUCCCGUCUAAUACGGCAUAAUGCAUCGACGGGACAUCCUGUUGGUGCCAAAGGUUGAUUCCGGUGGCGGAUGGGCAUGCGUCGCAUUAGUUAGUUGGCGGUGUAACGGACCACCAAGACGACGAUGCGUAGGGGUUCUGAGAGGAAGGUCCCCCACACUGGUACUGAGACACGGACCAGACUCCUACGGGAGGCAGCAGUGAGGAAUAUUGGUCAAUGGGCGGGAGCCUGAACCAGCCAAGUCGCGUGAGGGAUGACGGCCCUAUGGGUUGUAAACCUCUUUUGCCGGGGAGCAAAGUGCCGCACGUGUGCGGUUUGGAGAGUACCCGGAGAAAAAGCAUCGGCUAACUCCGUGCCAGCAGCCGCGGUAAUACGGAGGAUGCGAGCGUUAUCCGGAUUUAUUGGGUUUAAAGGGUGCGUAGGCGGACGCUUAAGUCAGCGGUAAAAUUGCGGGGCUCAACCUCGUCGAGCCGUUGAAACUGGGUGCCUUGAGUGGGCGAGAAGUACGCGGAAUGCGUGGUGUAGCGGUGAAAUGCAUAGAUAUCACGCAGAACUCCGAUUGCGAAGGCAGCGUACCGGCGCCCAACUGACGCUGAAGCACGAAGGCGUGGGUAUCGAACAGGAUUAGAUACCCUGGUAGUCCACGCAGUAAACGAUGAAUGCUAGUUGUCCGGGGCGAUUGAGUUCUGGGUGACACAGCGAAAGCGUUAAGCAUUCCACCUGGGGAGUACGCCGGCAACGGUGAAACUCAAAGGAAUUGACGGGGGCCCGCACAAGCGGAGGAACAUGUGGUUUAAUUCGAUGAUACGCGAGGAACCUUACCCGGGCUCAAACGCAGGAGGGAUGUUUUUGAAAGGAGGCAGCCAGCAAUGGUCUCCUGCGAGGUGCUGCAUGGUUGUCGUCAGCUCGUGCCGUGAGGUGUCGGCUUAAGUGCCAUAACGAGCGCAACCCCUACCUACAGUUGCCAUCGCGUGAUGGCGGGCACUCUGUGGGGACUGCCUGCGCAAGCAGUGAGGAAGGCGGGGAUGACGUCAAAUCAGCACGGCCCUUACGUCCGGGGCGACACACGUGUUACAAUGGCAGGUACAGCGGGAAGCCACCCGGCGACGGGGCGCGGAACCCGAAAACCUGUCUCAGUUCGGAUUGGAGUCUGCAACCCGACUCCAUGAAGCUGGAUUCGCUAGUAAUCGCGCAUCAGCCACGGCGCGGUGAAUACGUUCCCGGGCCUUGUACACACCGCCCGUCAAGCCAUGGAAGCCGGGGGUGCCUGAAGUGCGUGACCGCAAGGAGCGCCCUAGGGUAAAACCGGUGACUGGGGCUAAGUCGUAACAAGGUAGCCGUACCGGAAGGUGCGGCUGGAACACCUCCUUUCUGGAGACGUCAUGUGUCCGGUAACUCCGGGCAGUCGGACGGCAGUCUGUUCCCGAUCACAGACCGUUACAACGGCAUAUAGCCCUCCAUACAGAAUGAUUCUGCCGAUUAGGUUCGGCGUCGGAGUCGAUUGAAUGGAAGAUGACGGAGUUUUCACUGAUACGCCUCAGGAUAUGAAAGGCGUGCUGCUGCUUCGGGCUCUAUUGACCUACAACGGCUUGAAAUGGCGUAUUCCGGUUUUUCGCUGGGAUGACAGGUGUCGGCGGCGAUGAUAUCGCCGGUGGCGACAGCGAAACGCCCGUUCAACCGUCACGGGGGAUUAGCUCAGCUGGCUAGAGCAUCUGCUUUGCAAGCAGAGGGUCAACGGUUCGAAUCCGUUAUUCUCCACCGUAAACAAAGAGAACAUUGACAUACUGGAAGCGAUAGUCAUUGAUGACGCAAGUCAGAGAUGACAAGCAAUUGACAAUAGAAACGAGUGAAAUCAUCGGGCGUAUGUGCUUUUUGAGCACGACGAACGACGGAUAUCUGACGUAGAGUCAAAAGGCGAAGUAAAAGGAAAGGAGAGAAGGGCACAUGAAGGAUGCCUUGGCUCUCGGAGGCGACGAAGGACGUGACAAGCUGCGAUAAGCUGCGGUUGGAGGCAAAUACUCAUCAAGCCGCAGAUCUCCGAAUGGGGCAACCCGGCGCGCGAAGAGUGCGUCACCGGUCUGUGACCGGAGCGAACCCGGGGAACUGAAACAUCUCAGUACCCGGAGGAAGAGAAAACAAUAGUGAUUGCGCAAGUAGUGGCGAGCGAACGCGCAAUAGCCCAAACCGCCGGCGUGGCGACGCGCCUGGCGGGGUUGUAGGACCGCCGGUAAAGUGAUGGAAUACGGUUAGCCGAACACGCUGGAAAGCGUGGCCAUAGCGGGUGACAGCCCCUUAGGCGAAAACUGUGAUUCCGGGCGAGGCGGCACCUGAGUAGCGCGGGACACGAGAAAUCCUGUGUGAAUCUGCGGGGCCCAUCCCGUAAGGCUAAAUACUACCGAGAGACCGAUAGCGAACC
rnacentral:rRNA from 1 species